rnacentral:lncRNA from 1 species
AGGGCUGAACUGAAAGUACAUCUAACACAUGGGUGUGCCCUAGUGUGCGUAAUACUAGGUCAACGAGGCUCUCGCAGUCCAUAUAUAUUCUCUGAUGUUUCCUCAUAUUUAAGUUCAGGUUUUGCAUUUUCGGCAAACAUACCGAGAAGGGAGGUUGUGGCCGUCUCAGUGCAUCACAUCAGAAGGGAUUCGAUGUUGGUUUGUUCCAUUACUGAAAACGAUAAGGAUGAUCACUUGAUGAAGGUGAUGUCUAUCAGGUUUCUCGACUGCAAAGAUGCUAUAUUUCUUUGGAUGUAAUAAACACUUUAUGGAAAAAUAAUUGAAGACUCUCUAAGUAUAUGGUUAUGUAUCCAUCUUUACCACUAAUUGUAGCAUCUGUUGAUGAUUCUUCCCUGAAACAGUUAUUACUAUUGUGUGUGCCAAAUGCUAGUGGGAAGUUUCCUUACUAGUAAGGAAAAGUUUACUCUAUUUAUUCACCCAUUCAUCUGUUUAUUCAUCAUGUAUAUUAUUAUGGGCAAAUGAACUGACUUUAUUCUGUGGGUUAUGAUCUGUCACCAUCAUUUUGUUGUCGAGUUUUCCCAGAUUUGGCCUCUGGAAAGUCUCCUUCAAGUGGGCUCCUUUAUCUUUUUAGAAAGUACCUUCUCUCUCUAUCUCUCCCUCCCUCUCUCUCUCUCAAAGCACUUUGAUAUUUCCUGGCACCACAAGGUAUUUUAGCCUUAUCUUAUACUUUCCUGUCCCAGUCCUGUAAUCAGCUGUUUCUCCAAGGUCUUGUACUUUUGUUGGAGCAUGGUGUUUAGAAACCAAGAUUUAGGCAGUAGAUGGGCUCAUUAGUAUGGGGGUAUCACCAUACGUGACCAACCCUCUUGAAAACUGUCCAGGUUGUGGAAAACAAAGAAAGACAGAGGACCUCUUCCAAAUUAAAGGAGACUAAGGAAAUUUGACAACUAAAUGCAAAGUGUGAUUUUGGAUUGGAGCCUGAACCAAAAAGAACAUUAGUGGGGCAAUUGGAGGAAUUUGAGUAAAUUCUUUAGAUUAAAUGAUAUGUAUAUUGUAUUAUAGUCUUAUCCAUAUUUAUCUUCAUGGAACACAGUUGAAAAUAACAUGACCAUUCACAUUACUGUUGAUUUAAAAAAAUAAUUCAGAUCUAUGCAAUUGAAGAAACUGAUCUAAAUUAGGGGCAGGAUAAUUCAGAAAAGAAAUAAAAUGGUACUUGGCAUUCUAACUAUACCAUUUAGGGUUUUUGCAAGAAAUUAUCAUGUAUGCCCCAAAUUAUCUAAUUAAUCUCCUUUUGAUGAACAUUUACGUUGUUUCAAAUUUCCCCUGCUGAUGUAUAAGGCUCUGUUAACAUAUUUUUACAUACAUUUUCAAACAUUUGAAAGUCUCCUUGGGAUACAUUUCUUGAAGGUUGGUUAAAUAAUUUAUAGUACAGCCAUAAACUGUUACAUGCAGAAUGACAAUGUUCAGUGAAAAAGACACAGUUUUAUUUUAUAUGUUAAUACAUAUACAUCCAUAUAAUUUUUUUUCAUUUUUUAAAAAUUGAAGUACAAUUGAUUUACAAUAUUAUAUUCAUUUUAGGUGUAUAGCACGGUGAUUCAGUAAUUUUACAGAUUACACUCCGUUUUAUGUUAUUAUAAAAUAAUGACUAUAAUUCCCUGUGCUGUGCAAUAUAACCUUGUUGCUUAUCUGUUUCAUACAUAGUCAUUUGCAUCUUUUAAUCUCAUACUCCAAUCUUGCCCUCCCCCUUCUCUCACCUCACUGGUAUCCACUAGUUUGUUUUCUUUUUCUUUUUUUUUUUUUUUUUUCUUUUUUCUAUUUCUUUGGGCUGCUCCCACGGCAUAUGGAAGUUCCCAGGCUAGGGGUCGAGUCGGAGCUGUAGCCACUGGCCUACGCCAGAGCCACAGCAACGCGGGAUCCGAGCAGCGUCUGCAACCUACACCACAGCUCAUGGCAACACUGGAUCCUUAACCCACUGAGCAAGGGCAGGGACCGAACCCGCAACCUCAUGGUUCCUAGUCGGAUUCGUUAACCACUGUGCCACGACGGGAACUCCUAGUUUGUUUUCUAUAUAUGUAAGCAUGUUUCUGUUUUGCCACAUGCAUUCCUUUGUUUUAUUUUUUAGAUUUCACGUAUAAAUUAUAGCAAAGAGUAUUUCUCUUUCUCUGUCUUACUUAUUUCCCUGAGCAUAGUACUCUGCAGGUCCAUCCACCUUCUUGCAAAUGGUAUAAUCUCAUUCCUUUUUAUGGGAGAGUAAUAUUCCAUUAUAUCUAUCUCUCUAUUGAUCUAUCUAUCUGUAUCUAUAUCUUUAUCCAUUUACAUUUAUUGAUGGACAUUUGGGUUGCUUAUAUAUCUUGGCUAUUGUAAUAGUUCUACUGUGAACAUUGGGGUGCAUACAUCUUUUUUAAUUAGUGCUUUCAUUUUCUUUGGAAAUAUACCCAUGGAGGAAAUUGCUGAAUCAUAUUGUAGUUCUCUUUUCAGUUUUUUGAGGAAUUCCAUACUAUUUGCACGGUAGCUACACCAAUUUACAUUCCCAUCAAAAGUGUUCAAGGGUUGCCUUUUCUCCACAUCCUCUCCAAUAUUUGUUUUUAUAGAUUUUUUGAUGCUAGCCAUUCUAGUAAGUAUGAGGUGAUGUCUCAUUGUUAUUUUGAUUUGUGUUUCUCUAACACAGUAGUGAACAUCUUUUCAAGUGCCUGUUAGCCAUCUGUAUGUCUUAUUUGGAAAAAUGUCUAUUCAUGUCUUCUGCCCAUUUUUAAUUGGGUUGUUUGUUAUUUUGUGAUACUAAAUUGUAUAAGCUGUUUAUAUAUUUUGGAUAUUAACCCCCUGAUGGUCAUAUCAUUUAUAAAUAUUUUCUCCCAUUCAUUAGGUUGUCUUUUUGUUUUGUCUGUGGUUUCCUUUGCUGUUCAAAACCUUUUAAGUUCAAUUAGGUCUCAUUUAUUUUAUUUUUAUUUAUGUUUCAUUUUGAUAUUUAAUUUUAACAUUUAAAACAUUUUUAUGUUUUAUUUUAUUUUUACUUUGCUUUCGUCUUAGGUGACAGAUUGAAAAAUAUUGCUAUUAUUUAUGUCAAAGAGUGUUCUACCUAUGUUCUCUUCUUGGAGUUGUAUGGUUUCAGGUCUUACAUUUAGAAACCAUUUGGGGUUUCUUUUUGUACAUGAUGUGAGGAAAUAUCUAAUCUCAUUCCUUCACAUGGAGCUGUCUGUCCCAUCUUCCCAGCACUCCUUAUUGAAGAGAUGGUCUUUUCUACAUGUAUAUUCUUGUUUCUUUUGUAGAUUAGUUGGCCAUAGGUGUAUUGAUUGGUUCCUGGGUUUUCUGUUCUGUUCUACUGGUCUAUGUGUCUAUUUUUUUGUGCAGUACCAUGCUGUUUUGAUUAUUGUCCCUUUGUGGUAUAGUAGAAAGUCAGAGAGCAUGAUACCUAUAGCUCUUUAUAUUUCUCAAGAUUGUUUGGCAAUUCAAGGUCUUUUGUGGUUCUGUGUAAAUUUUAGGAUUGUUUGUUCUAGCUCUGUGAAAAAUAUGGUAGGGUUUUGAUAAGGAGUGCUUUAAAUCUGUAGAUUGCUUUGGGUAGUAUAGACAUUUUAACAAUAGUAAUUCUUCCAAUCCAAGAUAUGGAUUGGGAUAUUUUCCAUUUCUUUGUAUCAACUUCAAUUUCUUUCAUCAAUGUUUUAUAGUUUUCAGAAUAUAGGUCUUUCACUUCCUUGGUUAAAUUUGUUCCUAGUUAUUUUAUUCUUUUCGGUGGGAUUUUUUUUCUUUACUAUUUUCCUCCUCCCCAAUUCUAUGUGUAUCUUUCCUACAGGAGAUCAUGCACAGGAGUUUUCUGCCAGUUUCAAGCUAGUUUUCAGUGAGCAUUAUAACGCAUGUAGAUGUAUUUUUAAUAUAUGCAUUGGAGGACAUGAGGUUAUAUAUUUUGAAAAAGCAGUAGAGUUCCCUGGUGGCCUAGUGGUUAAAGUAUCUAGUGUAGUCUCUGCUAUAGCAUGGGUUCAGUCCUUGGCCAGGGAACUUCCGCAUGCUGUAGGAAUGGCCAAAAAGAAAAAACAGCAACAACAACAACAACAAACAAAACAAGAGUAAGACAACUAACAUAAAUAAUAUAACAUACUAAAAAAAUUAAAUCCCAAAGUCUGGGCUCCAUCACUAGGUUACUGGAUCAGAAUUUAUGGGCAGUAGAGCCCUAGAAAUUUCUGUUCUUAAUACCACCAGCAGAUGAUUUUCAUGUACUUUAAUGUUUGAGAACUACAGUCCUAGGCCCAUAUCAAGACAUGCCUCUCCAAGGUGAUAUGAAAACAUCCAAAGGCUUUGUGGUCUAGUUCCUGUUCACUUUGCUAGUCUCAUUUCCUAACCAAAACUUUACAUUCUACUAAUGUAAAUUCCUGCAUCUUCCUGCUUAUACCUUGCUAUUUAUCAUUCUCUAUCACUGAAAUACCUACCUCUCCACCUUGCUUCGUCUCGCCUACUCUUAAGUAUACUUUAAGUCCUCACCCAAGUACCUCCACUGCAGGUCUUCUGAGCAUCUCCAGUAUGGAGGGCUUGUCUCCCCAGUGCACCAUUACUGAGCUAUGUCAGCACACCUGGUACAUAGUUAAUAGUUGAUAACAUUUUGGCAAAUUGAGUAAAUAGUAUGCUUCUAUGGAGCUUCUUAGAAUACAUGGAUUCUAUCCUCUAUCUUUUGUUGUGUGACAAAUCACCACAAAACAGUGGCUUACAAUAACCAUUGCUUAUUUAGUUCAUAAUUCUGCAGGGCAACAGUUUGGUCUAUGAUUAGUUGAAUAGUUCUUCUCUUGAUACAGCUGGAGUUACUUCUGUGUCUGUGGUCAGCUGCUGGUCACCUAAGUGGCUCUGCUUCUAGGACUGGCUUUUUGUUGGCUGGAGCAAGGGCAAUUGCUGUGCAAUGAUUCCUUUGGCUGUAAAGUCUAGACCAGGCAGGCUCCGGCUUGUUCAAGUGGAGGUGGCAAGUUCUGAGAGAGAGAGAUAGAGAGGGAAAAGGAUGUGGGGGGAAACUACACGUUCUUUUGAGGUUUAUUUUUAGAACUGGGAGAAUAUAGUUUCUGCUACUUCCUAUUAGCCAAAGCAAGUUACAACACCAGUUUAUAUUUGAAGGUGAGCAAAUAGACUCCGUUUAUUUUUGGAGGCACUACAAAGUAUUGUGACCAUUUUUGCAGUCUAUUUCACUGGUCUGUAUAUAUGAAUUGAUAAUUAUUAUUUACAAUGUAACUAUAAACUGGAUUAUAAUUUCCUAUCAUAAAUACCUUUAUUUCUCUUAUCCUCAAACCAUCCAACUGUUGCUGUUUCUUUUCCAGCUCUGUCAUCUAAUUCCUCUUCAAUUAACCUAUUCUGGAGUACAGUUUGCAUUUAUUCAUGAACAGUAUAAAUAAGCAUGUACCAUUUGUUAAUUACUUGGAUUUGGUUUAAGUCUUAAAAUGAAGCCAACUUUUCCAGGCAUAGCAAACUACAGACCUAAGUAUGAAGACAGACACGAUGCCAAUAAGAAAACAUAUCAUUCUUGACUCCUUGAAUUUUAGCUUUCAUUUUCAGCUUUACUGCCUUAAAAAAUCGACAAUAUCCAGCUUUCGUUAUGCCACAUCAGUUGACCUAUUUUCUGGUUUGAAAGUGAUAUUCAUCUUUCUGCCUACUGGAGGGCCUCUUCACUGCUACAAAGAGAUUUCUUUAAAGGGUAAAGCCAUCUAAGGUCAAGUCCGUUGGCCUCUGCCCUGCUAAGGUGAGUUAUGCUUUGAAUUAGGGCUCAGGCUUUGAACCCUUGCAUUCAUCAUUAGAGUCUGCACCUUCCUCUCCUUAUUGCCACGGUCAGUCUGGGAACUUAACUUCAUUGGCAUUUUAUUCUCUCAGCAGACCUUGGAAGGAAAGGUAGCAAUGUCGAACAUUGCCAAAUAACAUAAGAGCCUGGCAUGGAAAUUAUUAAGCAGGCUUUUGAGUUUUCUACCAUAGGGACUUUUUCUUUUUUUUUCUUUUUUGACCUUAUUACUUUUCUGAUUUUCCUCCUCAUGGAUUCUGAAUUUAACUCUUCACAACCCUUAAUUUUUUUUUCUUUAACACAAAGGUGGAGCUGGACCAUUCUGUUUCCAAAGAGGGACAGAAUUUCUUUCUUAUAUUCAAGGGCAUCUUAGUCACCAGUGGUCCCUGCUCCUGGGCUCAUUGAAGCUUAGCAUCCAAGCCUGUCAUCCACUGAGGGGAAAACAUCCAAGAAUUUGCUUUGUGACCUGGGAUCUAUGGGAUGUAAGUGUGUGUUACAAAACUUAAUGCAUAAAGCUGCUACUUUUGAUACAGUCUUGCUCAUGGAGAGAUGGGAUUUAGCUGCUUGUAAUGAGAAUUUGAUGUGACUGGAAAUUGAACAGAAGCAUCUUUUUAUUGAAGGUGCUGAGCCUUAUAACAAUCAUUCAGUGGCAAACGUUAUUAUUUUUCACAUUACUUUUCGACUAUAAAACCUUUCAGGGCCUCAUAAGAAAAUCCCUUUCCUUGUUCAAGCAACAAAAAACUUGAUAACUUUUUCCUUACAUCCACAUAAAGCAAAACAAUAUGGUAACAUUUCCCAUCCCCCUCUUUAAAGAUCUGUCUCAAUUUUUCUCUGUGUUAAAAAUCUUCUUUUGCUAGGUCAGAAGUGUCCUCUCAUGAAAUCUCAUUUUCCCUUUAUUUCACUCUGUGAGAAUCUC